CGCACGGUGGAUUAGUGGUUAGAACGUUCGCCUCACACCUCCAGGGUCGGGGUUUGAGUCCCACUGUGUCC